rnacentral:rRNA from 1 species
GGAUUAGAUACCCUGGUAGUCCACGCCGUAAACGAUGUCGACUAGCCGUUGGGGUCCUUGAGGCCUUAGUGGCGCAGCUAACGCGGUAAGUCGACCGCCUGGGGAGUACGGCCGCAAGGUUAAAACUCAAAUGAAUUGACGGGGGCCCGCACAAGCGGUGGAGCAUGUGGUUUAAUUCGAAGCAACGCGAAGAACCUUACCAGGUCUUGACAUCCUCGGAACUGAGCAGAGAUGCUUUGGUGCCUUCGGGAGCCGAGAGACAGGUGCUGCAUGGCUGUCGUCAGCUCGUGCCG